UGAGGAAUAUUGGUCAAUGGACGGGGAGUCUGAACCAGCCAAGUAGCGUGCAGGACGACGGCCCUAUGGGGUUGUAAACUGCUUUUAUAGGGGGAUAAAGUGUGCCACGUGUGGCAUAUUGCAGGUACCCUAUGAAUAAGGACCGGCUAAUUCCGUGCCAGCAGCCGCGGUAAUACGGAAGGUCCGGGCGUUAUCCGGAUUUAUUGGGUUUAAAGGGAGCGCAGGCCGGGUAUUAAGCGUGUUGUGAAAUGUAGGCGCCCAACGUCUGCACCGCAGCGCGAACUGGUGCCCUUGAGUACGCACGACGUUGGCGGAAUUCGCCGUGUAGCGGUGAAAUGCUUAGAUAUGGCGAAGAACUCCGAUUGCGAAGGCAGCUGACGGGAGCGCUACUGACGUUCAUGCUCGAAAG
rnacentral:rRNA from 1 species